rnacentral:lncRNA from 1 species
GUGCAAAAAGGUAAUAUUUACACUUUUCAGAUCAUCUCUUGACUUGCCUAUAGGGGUAUGGAUGUGUAUUGGCCAAAUUUGUAUGAUGUAUUUUUGGACUUGUACUGUACAUUACACACACAAAAAAUUAGACAAAAAGAAUAGGCAAAACUUUUUUAAUGCGAAAAAACGUUAUAAAGAAAUGAUAGAGGAAUUAAUUGUGGUCUUGGGCCAU